GUGUCUGUCCUCCCUCUGUUUCUCUGUCACUGCAGCGGGGAAGGUUUGCAGCGCGUGCUCGCUCCCAAAACCGCCAACUGCAGCGCACUGCAAAACCUCCAGCACUAAACCUCACUCCACUUCAUACGGUGUGAAAGCUCUCCAGGUGUUGACCCAGCAGCUCUCUGCAGGUCCGGCACUGAGAUGAGUUGGUCUGUUUAACCUGUCCAGUGUCGAUUCUGUCUGAUUGCUUCUACAAAGUUCUUGAUCUUGCUAGGAUGUAUUUGCCAGUCUCUGCUGACCGUAACAUGUCGAUGAUUCCGUCCACGAUGGCACAGAAGAAAGACGCGAUGACUCCGAUGCUGAUGAAGAUGAUCGCUGCCACAAGCUUAAAGAGAGGAGGAGGAGGAUGAAGUGACAGGAGAGGAAGAAAACAC